UUAGUAACCCCCCCCCCCCCGUUCAACCCAUCGGAAGUCCAGAAACAUUUCAAAAAGAAGAAAAGAGAACAGACGACUUUCUUCUUCUUGAUCUCCAAUCCACGUGGUAGCCAUGUCUCAGACUGUUGUCCUUAAGGUUGCUAUGUCCUGUGGAGGCUGUUCUGGUGCAGUUAAAAGAGUCUUGGACAAAA